rnacentral:lncRNA from 1 species
GGAAGGAGGGAGAAGCCAUCCACGAUGAGAAAUUCAACUUUAUUGAUUGGAUGAUUCUUGAAGACAAAAAGGAAAAGCAAAAUUACGGUAAAAUAAAAAUACAAGGAUGGAGGUCUCAGACCUCAGAGGCAGGAGUUGGAGAGCUCGACGUUCCUGGAAGGGGGGCUGCGGCAGCAGUGGUAGCGGGAGAGGGACCGGCCUCGUCUUCAGACUCCUCACCCAGGAAGCUGAGGUCGAGCUCCGAAAAUUUUCUGGCCACCUUCUCCUGGCAGAGCUCGAACCCCUUGAUGAACGCCUCUUGGCCGAAUUGGACGUUCAGGUCCCAC